CUCAGCUCCAAAGGUGACUGCCUUCUGGGCACCAUCAAUGCAAAUGGUAAGGGGGCAGCAGACAAGGGGCAGAGAGGCAAGCCGGGCAGGCUCCCAGGCUCCCAUGCAGGGCGGUGAGGCCAGGGGGCGCUGAGGCAGCCAGAAUUCCAGGUACAAUAGAUCCUCCUGCCCCCGACAGCACAUUACAGAGCAUCACAGGCACGGUGGCUUCCCUUGCAUCUGGCUCAUCUCAAAAAUGAUGAACUACUCAUGCAAGAUAUAUAUCUCUGCCAUGACUGGCAUGCCGGUGGCUAGAGAUUCACAGCCAGGAUGUUAAGAUUUCCAAGGUGUACUGCAUUUCUGUCAACGUCCUGUCAUCCUGACCUUUCUCAAUGAGUUGAGAAGAACGCUCAUUUCACGUCCGGGACAAACUCCACCAGACUGUCCUGCCAUCUGGAGCGAUGGAGCACCCUAGCGGCCUGAACAGGCCAAUGGAACUCCCCCUUCAUUUGCAUUAGAGUUCAUAAUCUUUUAAACUAAGCAACUAGAAAUAAUUAGCAUAAUAACAUUAGUCAUAUCAUAAUACCAGUUGAGAAACCUUUUGUGAAUGAAUGGGAUAAUUGUAUCUAGAAAGCACAGGCAAUUAAACAUCAAGUAAUUCUUGACUUUAAAGGCCAAGUGGACCCCAUGAAGUACUCCUGAAUUGCAUACGUUCACCCGUGAGCUGUAAAGUACAUGUUUGGCAUUUUUGAGCUUAUGGAAUAGUUUUCUCCAUCCGAACUGUAUGACUCACUCGUUGCACCUCAGCUAAGCAAACAGGAAUUUUUAGAACCUUACCCUCUGUUUGGCUUGUUUUUUCCUGCUGUCCUGGGAACCACUGUGUAGGCAGCUAAGAGAAUAAACAGCCUCUGGGGACAGAAUUCCUGCGUUCAUGUCAAGCUACCUUCCUCAAAGCAGGGUGACUGAGCAAAGGGAUUAACUCUGUGCCUUACUUUUCCCAUCUGUGAAAUGGGGAUAAUAGUAGCAGCCAGUUUGUAGUCUUGUGAGAAUUAAGCAGGUUCUUAAAACAAUGCCUGGAGCACAGUAAACGCUAGUUUCUUGCCGUUACUAUUAUUCCUCCCAGGCUGCAGGCACAUCUGUCAUCUGCCCCAUCACAUCACAUUCUGCCUACACGUGAAUCCUGGGCCUUUAGCAUCUGUGUGCUUUUGUAGCCCCAACUCACAUAUCCAAGAGCCUAUGGAAAAGGAACUGUUUUAAGGAACACAGUAUUCAUAAAAUCCUAUAUCUAAGUCUAUGGAAUAGAAUUUCACAUCAAAGGACCUCAUUUCCUAUAUGCAACUGUUGUGCCUGAGAUUUUUAACUGGAAAUACCUAUCGCAGGGUAAUAACAAGCAGCUUAAUCUCUUUGAGGUCACUUUCCAAAGAAUUGAGGGGAAUAUUUUGAACCCUUCUGCAAAAUUUGUUGAAUCAUUUCCCCCAUCGCAACUGUACAAGAAAUGAGCUGUAAUUAAUUUAGUUAGGUGCCUUGAGGGUGAAUCAGCCACCCACUGGAUUAUUUGGCAAGAAAGUUAUUUCAGGUGAAAAUAAGAAUAUUUGUACGUACAAGAGGGUAAAGUAGAAGACUUAAAACCUUAAAGGGAAGAAGUCCCAAGACUACAGCAAACCAUUAAUAGCAGCCAUUCAAUUCAUUCAGAAGAAAAUGGAUUACUGACUUCAGGAUCAAACUGUGUAAACCUGAAUAAUCACAUAAGCCGCUUCAGUGAUUAGCUUCAGCAGUAAGACUUUUUUCUUCCACAUCUUAUCUUUAGCUCCUUUCACAUUCUAAGUGUGACCUGUAAGAGUCCACGAGACCCUGUCACGCAAGCUUGUCAACUCACUUCCCACAUCAUGGGCCUUCAAGUGACACGUGCUCAGAUGCACAGCUGGAACUCCUGUAAUCCGGGGUGAGGGGAUGACAUGCCCCCACAUAUGUUAGCAGUUUUUCCUGAAACUACCGUACUGCGGCGGAAGCUGCCAAUUCACAUAUUUAUGAGUAAGUCAUAAGCGGCUCAAACCAAUCUUUUCAAAUUAAAAAGUGUUUUGUAAAAGCCCACAGUAGAAAAAUAGAGAUGUUUCAUGAUUUCAGAGUUGAGCUAAAAAUGUUGUACUUGAGGGUUUGACAUGUGUUCUCAAAUACCGGUGAAGGCCACUGUGGGAAAAUAUAAUAUGCAAAUUCGUGCACCGUGCCUGGAGGCUCACUGUGAUUCUCACUGAGACCCAGACUGAAGGAUUCCGGGCGAUGAGGUUCAUUAACUUCACCUACUUGAAAAUAGCCAAGAAGAAUUCCCCAAUUCCCAUCUAUAGUAAAAUGAGGUUUAUGAAAGUUUAAUAAACUUUUAGUUCUAAAAGCAAAUAUUAAUUUGUUCAUUUGAUGCUUUUCUCUUAGAUUCCAUUUUGUUCCCUGGAAUGAAACAUAUGACUUGUAAAAAUCAAGCAUUUUUCUACUUACAAGGACAAUUUCAUUUAUUAAUGGCUUAUAAUAAAAAAUUUGUUAGCUAAACAAUUAGCUUAUUUGUCUGAAGAAUAAAUAGUGAAUAGGUUCUUCAUUCAUUUGCUAAGUGUUCUUGGCCUUGACCUACUUUUCACUAUAAAGAUUGCUUUCUAGAUUUUCUAACUUUUUGUACCUAAUGUAAUUUGCCUAAACAAAUGAUGAAAGCUAACAUGUUCAUGUAUUUUCUUUUGGAGAAAGAGCAGGUCAAUAUGUACACAAAAUGUUACAUCACAAGUAAAAAUUUUAUUUUCAACCCUCCCACUGGGACCAAGGUAACUUCCUUACCUUGAAGUUGCCCAUCUCUGUCUGUAAAGUGAGGAUGUUAAUAGUUGCGGUGGGGUUUGGGGGGAGAUGGGGUGGGGGGCUUAUGGCAUCA